rnacentral:lncRNA from 1 species
AUAUAAAGGUUCCUCAAAAAAUUAAAAAUUGAGAUAUCACAGAGCAAUCCCACUUCUGGACAUUUAUGAAAAGAAUUGAUAUCAGGACCUCAAAGAGAUAUUAGCACUCUCAUGUUCACAACAGCACUAUUCACAAUAGCCAAGAUGUGGAAAGAGCCUAAAUGUCCAUUGGCAGAUGAAUGGAUAUAGAAAAUGUGGUUGGUGUGUGUGUGUGUGUGUGUGUGUGUGUGUGUGUGUGUGUGUGUGAUGAAAUGUUAUUCAGCCUUAAAAUCCUACCAUCUGCAACAGAGUGAAUGAAACUUGAAGAAUUAUGUUAAAUGAAAAACUGAAUACUGUGUGAUAACACAAGGAAGCAGAGAGUAGAACAAUGGUGACCAAAGGCUGGGAGAGGCAGGAAGGGGGUUAUUCAACAGCUGUAAACUUUUAGUUAUGCAAGAUCAAUAAAUUCUAGAAGUCCUAUAGCUAACUAUACUGUAUUAUAC